UCUCAGUAAAACAUGAUCUCAUGGAAUGCGUCAUAACACAAAUAAACCACAUCAAGAGUAAACCUGUCACCACAUAGUCCCAGUAGCUCUUUGCCAGGGCGUAGAAUCGAGCACCUGGUCUUCCUGUCAUAUAUGUAUAUGUGUAUAUAACACCUCUGUACUUACCAUUGCCAGGGCGUAGUCAAAGGCUCCUGGUCUUUACUAUAAACCUGCCAGGGCGUAGUCAAAGGCUCCUGGACUUCGCUAUACCUGCCAGGGCGUAGUCAAAGGCUCCUGGACUUCCUGUCUGUGACUAUUGGAUCAUUCAGCAUUUACUCACAUCAACAGAUAAC
rnacentral:lncRNA from 1 species